CAGUUCGGUCCCUAUCCGUCGUGGGCGUAGGAAAUUUGAGAGGAGCUGUCCUUAGUACGAGAGGACCGGGAUGGACAUACCUCUGGUGUACCAAUUGUCGUGCCAACGGCAUAGCUGGGUAGCUAUGUGUGGACGGGAUAAGUGCUGAAAGCAUCUAAGCAUGAAGCCCCCCUCAAGAUGAGAUUUCCCAACUUCGGUUAUAAGAUCCCUUAAAGAUGAUGAGGUUAAUAGGUUCGAGGUGGAAGCAUGGUGACAUGUGGAGCUGACGAAUACUAAUCGAUCGAAGACUUAAUCAAAA
rnacentral:rRNA from 1 species